GCCCGGGUGGCGAAAUAGGUAGACGCAAGGGACUUAAAAUCCCUCGAGGGGUGACUCUCGUGCCGGUUCGACUCCGGCUCCGGGCA
rnacentral:tRNA from 1 species